GGUAAGGUGGCUGAAUGUUUAAGCGGUGGGUUGUAGCUCCAUGAACAGAGGUUUAAUUCCUCUCCUUAUCA
rnacentral:tRNA from 2 species